UUUUACAGCCAUACCACACUGAACAUGCCGGAUCUUAUCUGAUCUUGGAAGCUAAGCAGAGUCGGGCCUGGUUAGUACUUGAAUGGGAGACCACCUAGGAAUACCAGGUGCUGUAGGCA
rnacentral:rRNA from 1 species